ensembl:lncRNA
GGGAAAUGUAGUGUUGUCAACGGCCGCUGAGGGGCGCCCGAGGCUCUGAAGCCCGGGUAAGAUGGUGGCCGCCACUGGGGACAGUAGAGAGCCCAGGGGGGGAGGCUUGCUCUGUAUAGAAACCCCGGCGGUUAGAAAACGAAGACCGACGGUCGUUUCGGUCACAAAGUCGCUAUCUGUUGAGUGAACAGGCUGUCCCUGGCCGAGAUUGGCUGGGUGGUGGAGGCCGCAGAAAGUUCGAGGGGGCUUCGAGAGGAACCUCUGAGGGACUUGACCUAGUUGGUAUUCCACUGCCUCUGCUCACAUUGAAGGGGACAGCAGAUUGGCAGUGGCUCUGAGUGCUGGCCUCUCUGUCUGUCUGCCGGUGGCCACUGCCUCCUCCCUAAGAGGAUGACCGAUCCUGCGGAGCCCGCUCUCCUUUCCCCUGUCAGCUGGAAAGCAAGGACUAGCUGUUUCAGGACCCAGUGUCUACCCUGGAAACAUGGGUUCCAGAAGAGAGAGCGUAGAGAUAGCCCUGGCAGAGCCCACCCGGCCCACCUACAGAGGCACCGCCCAGGUUGGGCCACGACUGGUUCCUUGUGCCUGGAGGCUGGGUCACCCUGGAUUUCCUCAAGACUCAGGCCCUUCCUGCUCUGCCAGCUCACGAGCUCCGGUAUCAUGUUGCCCGGGCACAGAUCCCGGCUUUGCCACCAGCUGUGAGUGACCUUGAAUGAAUUAUUGGGUCAAUGAGGUUAACAGCAGUUCCUGCCUCAUAAGUGAGACAGUGCUUAUAAAUAAAGCUCUUGGCACAGCCCCUGGCACAGAGUGUGUGAGACCUAUUAGCCAUUAUUAUUAAUAGUAGUAGUAUCAUUAUUAUUAUCAUCAAAGUAAACCUUGGUAUCAGCCACUUGGCUCUUCUGUUGAGGCUCUAUCUCAAGGUCUGGGGCUUCUUCUCUAGCAGUGGGGCGCCUGCAGAGGGGUCCCCGGGAGCAGUGGGGCCAGCUGGGCCCCCUGCUAUUGGUGUCAUCGUGGCUGCCUCAGAUGGGGCCAUGUCCCACCAGUCUAGGACCGGGCCUCUGCUCUCUGCCCCCGCCCAGGACCGUCUUGUCCGAAGACACACAGUCAUACGUUUGGGAUGGGCCGGUGCUCUCCCCGGUCGCUUCUGCACCCCAGGGUCACGCCAGACGCAGCUGCUGUGGCUGCCUCCCUUGCUCCCCCGCCCCACCCCCGCUGCCUCAUAAGCUCUCUGGUCGUGUCCCAGUCUCCCAGGCUCCAGGAGAGACUGGCAGCAGCCCUGAGCCUCAGCUGCAAAAGUCGCAGACGACAGCACCUCCCUGCCUCCCGCUGCUGCCCUCGGCUGCCCUGCAAUUCCGAGCAGCCUUUUCCCUGUCACUCAGGCUUCCAUGGCAGGGAGAUUAGCAUUCAGACGGAGGGUGGAAGAGCAUCAGGGCAACCGCCGCCUGUCUUCUCUGGAGCUGAGAAGCGGAGCCUCUAGGGGGGCAGGUGUCUAGGCCAGGACCGUCCCUACCCCCUGGAGGUUGGGAUGGGGUUCUAGGUACCCAGAAGCGACAGCAGCAGGCUCUUGUAC